GCAGGCCCCGCCCCCGCACCGCCCUUCCCAUUGGUAGGUUCCGGAGAUGGAGGAGGAGGCGGGGCCCGCGGGCCGGCUGAGGGCAGCAAUUGGCCGGUAGCGCUGUCGAUCGCGGGGGAGGAGGCGGAGGCGCGGCGCGGGCCUCGGCCCUGGGAACAGCCUGGGGGCCGGGCGACAGCCGGGCUGGGGGCGGGGCGGCGUGGGCCGGUGGCGCUGGAGGCGGAGAGCGGAAGGUGGGCGAGAGCGCGUGGGGGCGGCUCUUCGCUGAGUCGCGAGUCGGGGCGGCCCCUGGGCGCCGCUCCCUGCUAGUGGCGGGGGGCGCGGGCUCGCGCAGGGCGGGGGAGAGUCCCUGGGCAGCCGGCCGCGCGGGCGGAGUGAAUGAUGGGGAGAGGCCGGCACGCAGCCGCACGGUCCGGCCCGGACCCGGAGUUUUGGGAGCCCAGGUGCCCAGGGAGACAUAGCCCCACAAGACAUCAGUCCGACAGACCGGGACUAAGACAAGUCCCGAAGUCACAGCCAGUCUACCAGGACCCAAGUGGACCGCAUUCUGCUUCGUAGGAUCAUCCCAAAGAAAGGACAGCAACGUGCAGGACGAGGUUGCCUGCCCUCCUGUCUGCAAGCCUUCCGUCACAGGCAGAUCCUUUUUGGUUGAAUUUCCUUCCUGAAACCAGCUGUGGCUUCCUCUUCUUUAUUUGUUGUUUGCAGAGUUUUAAAGUAGAUUCCUGCGUUUAUAGGUUUUGGGAUUCUUUUGGUUGUAAGUGACAGAAAGCAAUUCCAACCGGCUCUGA